AGCCUAGUAGGCUACAGUCCAUGGGAUCACAAAGAGUCGGGCACGACUGAACGAUUUCACUUUCACUUUUCAUGGGUAACUUGGGGAGAACAUGUAGAGAGAGGCCCUUCUGAGGCUCCAUUUCCUUCUGCCCCUGGGUGGUUAGUUAAUGUUCUACCAGCACUUCCCACUUGUCAGGGGGCCAGGACCAUGUUCCAGCCCCACAUCACUGCUCAGGGCAGAGGGCACUUUGUCCAGACAGCUUAGAUUUCAGAGAGACCUGCCUCUGAGCUUCACACUUCACCUUAGAGUCUGUGUCCAUUGUGGUCUUUUAUCUUCUCAGGUCUCAGGUUCUGGCUCUUCUCUUCCUCACUGUUCUUGUGGGGGAGGGGUGUGUGAAAUGAGAAUGUCUGCUAAUGGAGGAAAAAGGAAAUCAGUUUGCACAGCAAAUAACAACCUAAAGCUGGGCUCCCUGCCCAUUGUGAUUCCCUUUCCUCCCCAGAAGUUUCUGAGCACCAAACCCCAGUGAGAUGUGAGCUGAUUGUACAAAUCUGUCUACAGAAUCUCCUUGGCAGUGGGGUUAUGUUUGAAGGCUUUAUGUCCUGGCUACUAUCUUACUUGCUUUUCUCUUUUCCAGAGGAGUCUACUUCUCACUACGCUCUGCACGUGGAUUAACUCACUGACUCCUGACAACAGUCCCGGGAGAACAGAGACCCUGAAGGAGCUCCCUGAGAACAAGAACAGCUUACAUAUGGCGCUGUAAGCGGCAUUCUAGGAUGGAACCUCAAGACUUACUCCUAAUCCCUGGACUGAGAACAUGUGAUGAGUAAUCCUGUGGGUAAUUGUGUUAAGUUACGUGACAAAAGGGAUUUUGCAGGUAUACUGUAAGUAGGGUCACUCAUCAAUUUACUUUGAAUUUAACAAAAAGAGAUGUGAUCUAAGUGGGCUUAAUGUAAUCACAGGAGCACUUUGAAAGCAGACUGUUUUGAAAGCAGCUGGCCUCAGAAAAGAAAUCAGUGAGAUUAGAAGUAUAAGAGGGAUUGGGUUUAAGGGAUGUUCUCUGAGUUAUACUUCUCUGAGUCACUGAGAUAGAGGGAGCCUCAUGCCUAGAACCUGAGAAGGUCUUCUAGGAGCUGAGAGUGUUAGUACUAUGAAAAUGCAGAGUUGCCUUAUGGCCUCAGAACAGGCUGUUCCUAAGCUGAUGUGACUUCUAGCUGAAGGAGGUGGCAGGUGGUGGGCAGGUUGGGGGCCCAUGAUUAAGACUUAAGGAUUUCGCUUCCCUCAGUCUGUGGUCCAGACCCCAGUGCAUUAGA